rfam:Hymenobacter sp. CCM 8643 NODE_28_length_64397_cov_313.07_ID_55, whole genome shotgun sequence.
CGGCAUGUUUAGGGGUGCUGAUGUUGUGCACAACAUCGGCUGAGAUGAUACCCAUCGAACCUGAACCGGGUAAUGCCGGCGAAGGGAACAAACAAUCCGCGGACGU